UGCCAGCCGCCGCGGUAAUACGGAAGGUGCAAGCGUUGUUCGGAUUGACUGGGCGUAAAGCGCACGUAGGCGGGUAGGUAAGUCGAUUGUGAAAGCCCCGGGCUCAACCUGGGAACUGCAGUCGAAACUACUUAUCUUGGAUAUCUGAGAGGUUAGUGGAAUUCCAGGUGUAGGAGUGAAAUCCGUAGAUAUCUGGAGGAACACCAGAGGCGAAGGCGGCUAACUGGCAGAAUAUCGACGCUCAGGUGCGAAAGCGUGGGGAGCAAACAGGAUUAGAUA
rnacentral:rRNA from 1 species